rnacentral:rRNA from 1 species
AUUGAACGCUGGCGGCAUGCCUUACACAUGCAAGUCGAACGGUAACAGGUCUUCGGAUGCUGACGAGUGGCGAACGGGUGAGUAAUACAUCGGAACGUGCCUAGUAGUGGGGGAUAACUACUCGAAAGAGUGGCUAAUACCGCAUGGGAUCUACGGAUGAGAGCAGGGGAUCGCAAGACCUUGUGCUACUAGAGCGGCCGAUGGCAGAUUAGGUAGUUGGUGGGAUAAAAGCUUACCAAGCCGACGAUCUGUAGCUGGUCUGAGAGGACGAUCAGCCACACUGGGACUGAGACACGGCCCAGACUCCUACGGGAGGCAGCAGUGGGGAAUUUUGGACAAUGGGCGCAAGCCUGAUCCAGCAAUGCCGCGUGCAGGAUGAAGGCCUUCGGGUUGUAAACUGCUUUUGUACGGAACGAAAAGCCCCGGGUUAAUACCCUGGGGUCAUGACGGUACCGUAAGAAUAAGCACCGGCUAACUACGUGCCAGCCGCCGCCGUAA